UAAUACGGAGGGUGCAAGCGUUAUCCGGAUUCACUGGGUUUAAAGGGUGCGUAGGAGGGCAGGUAAGUCAGUGGUGAAAUCCCCGAGCUUAACUUGGGAACUGCCGUUGAUACUAUCUGUCUUGAAUGUUGUGGAGGUGAGCGGAAUAUGUCAUGUAGCGGUGAAAUGCUUAGAUAUGACAUAGAACACCAAUUGCGAAGGCAGCUCGCUACACAAUUAUUGACUCUGAGGCACGAAAGCGUGGGGAUCAAACAGGAUUAGAUACCCUGGUAGUCCACGCCCUAAACGAUGGAUACUCGACAUCAGCGAUACACUGUUGGUGUCUGAGCGAAAGCAUUAAGUAUCCCACCUGGGAAGUACGACCGCAAGGUUG
rnacentral:rRNA from 1 species